CUAGCAACUCCUCCUCCUCCCCCCCUCCUCUUCCUGUCUUGACCGGAAAACCCGCCUCCUCAUUUUAGCCCAGCAGUUGGCUAUUUGUCAUCUUUCUUAGCCAAUCAGAUAAUUAAGGGAAGUUCCUCUACUGAUGGGUAUUACAAAGGCUCCACAAAAAUGAGGGAAACUUUCUACCCCUGAGCCACCUCUGUAAGCCUAAUCUAUUUUGGGAAGGGUUAAGAUUAUUUAGGAAGGUCCAGUAGACUCUUUUCUGUGGUAAGAGAAAACCAGAAGCUACUGCGGGCUCGCUCAGCAAAGCUGGUUUGAGUCUCAGUUUCUGGACAGUCACCUCCACUCGAGGCUUCAUAAAGUUGAAUGCAGAGUCUCACAGAUUGGCAGCAGCUCUGCUUCAUUUGAUGAACGUGGAAUAUGGCCUCUCUGCUGCUGUUUUUGACCAUGUGAUGGAUGACCUCAAAUUAAGCAUGCACAGGAGUUAACAACGCUCCCCAAGCAUGGAGCAGUCUUUCCUAUCAGAGUAGGUAUGCAUUUCUCCAGAGAAAGAUUCCUGCUUUGCUGGGUGAGGAUUCCCUCUAUGCUGCUUGCCUGCAGCAAGUAAGCCUUCCUUCAUGAUUUCCUCUCUUGCUUGGGCUUGGACUUUGUACUCGACAUGGGUGGAGUGAGUGGAGGGUGGGGUGAGGGGGNNNNNAAGAGAGCUAGCUCCAAAGGAGGGCGAGGUGGGGAUGCGAGAGGAG
rnacentral:lncRNA from 1 species